rnacentral:pre_miRNA from 1 species
GAUUUCAACUGAAAAAGUCAUCAACAAUAAAGUUGUAUAACUCAUCAAGGUCUAUAACUUUUAUUUUGAUCAUUUCUUCAUCCGACAAAAUUAUAGUAACAUUAUUCACAAAAUUUAGAUAUCUCUCAUAUGGUUUUAUAAACUAUAAGAGAGAUAUGCAAAUUUUAUGAAUAAUGUUACUAUCACUUUGUCGGAUGAAGAAAUGAUCAAAAUAAAAGUUGUAUGUCUUAAUGAGUUCUACACCUUUUACGUUCAUGACUUUUUCAGCUGAAAUU